GUGGGGAAUCUUGCGCAAUGGGCGAAAGCCUGACGCAGCCAUGCCGCGUGGAUGAUGAAGGUCUUAGGAUUGUAAAAUCCUUUCACCGGUGAAGAUAAUGACUGUAGCCGGAGAAGAAGCCCCGGCUAACUUCGUGCCAGCAGCCGCGGUAAUACGAAGGGGGCUAGCGUUGCUCGGAUUUACUGGGCGUAAAGGGCGCGUAGGCGGACAUUUAAGUCAGGGGUGAAAUCCCGGGGCUCAACCUCGGAACUGCCUUUGAUACUGGGUGUCUUGAGUAUGAGAGAGGUGUGUGGAACUCCGAGUGUAGAGGUGAAAUUCGUAGAUAUUCGGAAGAACACCAGUGGCGAAGGCGACACACUGGCUCAUUACUGACGCUGAGGCGCGAAAGCGUGGGGAGCAAACAGGAUUAGAUACCCUGGUAGUCC
rnacentral:rRNA from 1 species